CUUGCUUCUCUUGAGAGCGGCGGACGGGUGAGUAAUGCCUAGGAAUCUGCCUGGUAGUGGGGGAUAACGUUCGGAAACGGACGCUAAUACCGCAUACGUCCUACGGGAGAAAGCAGGGGACCUUCGGGCCUUGCGCUAUCAGAUGAGCCUAGGUCGGAUUAGCUAGUUGGUGGGGUAAUGGCUCACCAAGGCGACGAUCCGUAACUGGUCUGAGAGGGUGAUCAGUCACACUGGAACUGAGACACGGUCCAGACUCCUACGGGAGGCAGCAGUGGGGAAUAUUGGACAAUGGGCGAAAGCCUGAUCCAGCCAUGCCGCGUGUGUGAAGAAGGUCUUCGGAUUGUAAAGCACUUUAAGUUGGGAGGAAGGGUUGUAGAUUAAUACUCUGCAAUUUUGACGUUACCGACAGAAUAAGCACCGGCUAACUCUGUGCCAGCAGCCGCGGUAAUACAGAGGGUGCAAGCGUUAAUCGGAAUUACUGGGCGUAAAGCGCGCGUAGUGGUUUGUUAAAGUUGGAUGUGAAAUCCCCGGGCUCAACCUGGGAACUGCAUUCAAACUGACUGACUAGAGUAUGGUAGAGGGUGGGUGGGAAUUUCCUGUGUAGC
rnacentral:rRNA from 1 species